UUUUAUGGAGAGUUUGAUCCUGGCUCAGAGUGAACGCUGGCGGCGUGCCUAAUACAUGCAAGUCGAACGAUGAAGCUUCUAGCUUGCUAGAAGUGGAUUAGUGGCGCACGGGUGAGUAAGGUAUAGUUAAUCUGCCCUACACAAGAGGACAACAGUUGGAAACGACUGCUAAUACUCUAUACUCCUGCUUAACACAAGUUGAGUAGGGAAAGUUUUUCGGUGUAGGAUGAGACUAUAUAGUA
rnacentral:rRNA from 1 species